rnacentral:rRNA from 1 species
UACGUAGGGGCCGAGCGUUGUCCGGAGUUAUUGGGCGUAAAGCGCGCGCAGGCGGCCUCGCGCGCCCGACGUGAAAGCCCCCGGCUUAACCGGGGAGGGUCGUUGGGGACGGCGGGGCUUGAGGGCGGGAGAGGUCGGUGGAAUUCCCGGUGCAGUGGUGAAAUGCGUAGAGAUCGGGAGGAACACCUGUGGCGAAGGCGGCCGACUGGGCCGACCCUGACGCUGAGGCGCGAAGGCGUGGGGAGCGAACGGG